rnacentral:rRNA from 1 species
UACAGAGGGUGCAAGCGUUAAUCGGAAUUACUGGGCGUAAAGCGCAUGUAGGCGGUUUUUUAAGUCAGAUGUGAAAGCCCCGGGCUCAACCUGGGAAUUGCAUUUGAAACUGGGGAACUAGAGUGUGUGAGAGGGGGGUAGAAUUCCAAGUGUAGCGGUGAAAUGCGUAGAGAUUUGGAGGAAUACCAGUGGCGAAGGCGGCCCCCUGGCACAACACUGACGCUCAGGUGCGAAAGCGUGGGGAGCAAACAGG